rnacentral:rRNA from 2 species
GCGGCGAUCCUAUACAUGCAAGUCGAGCGAACUGAUUAGAAGCUUGCUUCUAUGACGUUAGCGGCGGACGGGUGAGUAACACGUGGGCAACCUGCCUGUAAGACUGGGAUAACUUCGGGAAACCGAAGCUAAUACCGGAUAGGAUCUUCUCCUUCAUGGGAGAUGAUUGAAAGAUGGUUUCGGCUAUCACUUACAGAUGGGCCCGCGGUGCAUUAGCUAGUUGGUGAGGUAACGGCUCACCAAGGCAACGAUGCAUAGCCGACCUGAGAGGGUGAUCGGCCACACUGGGACUGAGACACGGCCCAGACUCCUACGGGAGGCAGCAGUAGGGAAUCUUCCGCAAUGGACGAAAGUCUGACGGAGCAACGCCGCGUGAGUGAUGAAGGCUUUCGGGUCGUAAAACUCUGUUGUUAGGGAAGAACAAGUACAAGAGUAACUGCUUGUACCUUGACGGUACCUAACCAGAAAGCCACGGCUAACUACGUGCCAGCAGCCGCGGUAAUACGUAGGUGGCAAGCGUUAUCCGGAAUUAUUGGGCGUAAAGCGCGCGCAGGCGGUUUCUUAAGUCUGAUGUGAAAGCCCACGGCUCAACCGUGGAGGGUCAUUGGAAACUGGGGAACUUGAGUGCAGAAGAGAAAAGCGGAAUUCCACGUGUAGCGGUGAAAUGCGUAGAGAUGUGGAGGAACACCAGUGGCGAAGGCGGCUUUUUGGUCUGUAACUGACGCUGAGGCGCGUAAUUUCUGACCACGCC